UACGUAGGGUGCGAGCGUUAAUCGGAAUUACUGGGCGUAAAGCGUGCGCAGGCGGUUUUAUAAGACAGGCGUGAAAUCCCCGGGCUCAACCUGGGAAUGGCGCUUGUGACUGCAAAGCUGGAGUGCGGCAGAGGGGGAUGGAAUUCCGCGGUGUAGCAGUGAAAUGCGUAGAUAUGCGGAGGAACACCGAUGGCGAAGGCAAUCCCCUGGGCCUGCACUGACGCUCAUGCACGAAAGCGUGGGGAGCAAACAGG
rnacentral:rRNA from 1 species